rnacentral:lncRNA from 10 species
AAUGUGCAUUCUGACUCAUGCCUUAGAAAGGAAUGGUCUGGCUGGGUGCAGUGGCUCACGCCUGUAAUCCCAGCACUUUGGGAGGCUGAGGUGGGCAGAUCACUUGAGGUCAGGAGUUAGAGACCAGCCUGGCCAACAUAGUGAAACCCCGUGUCUACUAAAAAUACAAAAAAAAAAAAUUAGCUGGGUGUGGUGGCAGGUGCCUGUGAUCCUAGCUACUGUGGAGACUGAGGCAGGAGAAUCCCUUGAACCUGGGAGUCAGAGGUUGCAGUGAGCCAAGAUCCCGCCAUUGCUCUCCAGCCUGGGUGACUGAGUGAGACUGUCUCAAAAAGAAAAGAAAAGAAAAAAGAAAGGGGAGGGAGGGAGGGAAGGGAGGGAAAGGAGGAGACCCUUGGGAACUGGGAAGUGUAGCUGAUGAUGAAAUAUUUUUUUUCUUUGAGAAAUGCAGGCCUGGCUCCAAUCAGCUAAUUUUUCAGACCUUUGAUCCAUUGAUCCUUUGGGCAGUCUGGGCUUGCUUGGUUCAGUGAGAGGCAGCAGAGGACGAGAGAAAUUGUGCAGGGCUGAGAGCUGUGAAGUCACUGGGUGAGUCCCUUCCCCUUGCCAGGCCUCAGUUUCCCAGUCUGUAAAAUAAGAGGACUGGAGGGACUGACUCUAGGGCUGACUCUGACCUUUUCUCUCCAAGCGUAGGUGAGCGGUGUGACCACACCAGGCCAAGGAAGAAGCACGUGCCCAGCCUGCCAUCUGCCCUCCUGUCCUGGAGCCAGCUCUUUCCACCAGCUUCCUUCGUCUUUUAACACUUGGUGAAAAGGAAUGACACGUCAGUCACAGCCACUGGCCAGUGCUCACGGAGCAUCUGGCAGGAGGAAGCGCCUUCCUGGCUGGCCUCCCAUUCAUCAGUCAGAGCCGCAGGCUGGGCCAGGAAGCUGCAUUUGUUGGCCAGGAUUUGAGAUUUCUUUCACUGAGGCCUCCGGAGAGUCAUUCCAAAGGUGAACAUGGAGCACAAACUCAAGAAGUGAAACCACAUGUACUGCCUCAAAAGCAACAAGGCAGGAGGGUGUCGAAAACCCCGGGGGGGAGAUACAAAGGCUCAAAGUUCUGCAACCCGCACCCCUUGGAAAGAGGGUAGGUCAGCUCCUCUCCCAACCCAAACUCCCAGUUUGAAUUUUUAAAACAUCAGCCUUCUAAGCAAGCAUCUGCCACUGUCCG